rnacentral:lncRNA from 1 species
AUCAGUCACUUUUUUAUAAUUAGGGAAUUUUUUAAGCUAAUUUAUAAAGAAAAUGUAAUAUUUCUUUAAUGGUAAAAGUAUAUCAUGAUUACCAAAAUCAACAGGACAUUGGUAUAGUAAUUUAAAGCCCUACUAGAUUCUUAGGAUGACCAAAAAAUGAGGAGUUCGAUUCUUAAGAGCGACACUUGUUGGGAGGGAUAACUACGAACUCCAAAAGAUAUUAGUUUCUUAUCAAAAAAUGUGAGAAAAUACUCUUGGUAUAACAUGAUUGGAUUAAAUAUAACCUUUGACAUUUCCUAUACCAUGCACUUGAGUCUGAGUACUUUAGAACUUCUUGACGUUUUAGAAGCUGAAGAGAACAUGCUGUAGUAUCUUUUUUCUCAGAGCAUAAUUCAAGACCUAUUCUGAUUUUGUAAUUACACUUUCUCUUUUCCUUUCCAAAAGUCAGAUUCUCUAUGAAUGUUCAGACUCAAAAUCUAAAACGGUAUUAUGAUUGAUCACUCACUACUUGGUCAUGUGUUGUUUGCAUUAUUCAAUAUCAUGUGAUAUUAUUAAGAAACUUAGUUUAGUUGAGUUGAUAAUGCAUGAUAAGAAAUAUAUUCAGACGUAAAAAUUACUUUAGCAUUAAAU